GGAGGAUUAACUCAGCGGUAGAGUGCUACCUUCACACGGUAGAAGUCACUGGUUCGAACCCAGUAUUCUCCACCA
rnacentral:tRNA from 1 species